GCAGUGAGGAAUAUUGGACAAUGGGCGCAAGCCUGAUCCAGCCAUGCCGCGUGCAGGAUGACGGUCCUAUGGAUUGUAAACUGCUUUUAUACGAGAAGAAACACUCCUUCGUGAAGGAGCUUGACGGUAUCGUAAGAAUAAGGAUCGGCUAACUCCGUGCCAGCAGCCGCGGUAAUACGGAGGAUCCAAGCGUUAUCCGGAAUCAUUGGGUUUAAAGGGUCCGUAGGCGGUUUAAUAAGUCAGUGGUGAAAGCCCAUCGCUCAACGGUGGAACGGCCAUUGAUACUGUUAGACUUGAAUUAUUAGGAAGUAACUAGAAUAUGUAGUGUAGCGGUGAAAUGCUUAGAGAUUACAUGGAAUACCAAUUGCGAAGGCAGGUUACUACUAAUUGAUUGACGCUGAUGGACGAAAGCGUGGGUAGCGAACAGGAUUAGA
rnacentral:rRNA from 1 species